CCCUUGUCGUGGCCCUUCCAACUAAACCUUCUUUAGGCACAAUCAGUAGCUCUCCUUUGAUCAAGGUAGGGGUUGGCACCCAGCUUGCUAGAGUAAAGUCUACAUGAUGUAGAGCCACUUUUGAAUGCAUUAGAGGUUCAACUUAUUGAUGCUGAAGUUUGGGUUGAGGCAAUCAAAUCACUCACUGAGCCAAGGUUAGAUGUGCUCGAUGUCUAGAGUUCUCCUCC
rnacentral:lncRNA from 1 species